CGAUGAAGCUGGGGCUUGCUCUGGUGGAUUAGUGGCGAACGGGUGAGUAACACGUGAGCAACCUGCCCUGGACUCUGGGAUAAGCGCUGGAAACGGCGUCUAAUACUGGAUACGAGACGUGGCCGCAUGGUCAACGUUUGGAAAGAUUUUUCGGUCUGGGAUGGGCUCGCGGCCUAUCAGCUUGUUGGUGAGGUAAUGGCUCACCAAGGCGUCGACGGGUAGCCGGCCUGAGAGGGUGACCGGCCACACUGGGACUGAGACACGGCCCAGACUCCUACGGGAGGCAGCAGUGGGGAAUAUUGCACAAUGGGCGGAAGCCUGAUGCAGCAACGCCGCGUGAGGGAUGACGGCCUUCGGGUUGUAAACCUCUUUUAGCAGGGAAGAAGCGUGAGUGACGGUACCUGCAGAAAAAGCGCCGGCUAACUACGUGCCAGCAGCCGCGGUAAUACGUAGGGCGCAAGCGUUAUCCGGAAUUAUUGGGCGUAAAGAGCUCGUAGGCGGUUUGUCGCGUCUGCUGUGAAAUCCCGAGGCUCAACCUCGGGCCUGCAGUGGGUACGGGCAGACUAGAGUGCGGUAGGGGAGAUUGGAAUUCCUGGUGUAGCGGUGGAAUGCGCAGAUAUCAGGAGGAACACCGAUGGCGAAGGCAGAUCUCUGGGCCGUAACUGACGCUGAGGAGCGAAAGGGUGGGGAGCA
rnacentral:rRNA from 1 species